AUUGAACGCUGGCGGCAGGCCUAACACAUGCAAGUCGAGCGGAUGAAGGGAGCUUGCUCCUGGAUUCAGCGGCGGACGGGUGAGUAAUGCCUAGGAAUCUGCCUGGUAGUGGGGGAUAACGUCCGGAAACGGGCGCUAAUACCGCAUACGUCCUGAGGGAGAAAGUGGGGGAUCUUCGGACCUCACGCUAUCAGAUGAGCCUAGGUCGGAUUAGCUAGUUGGUGGGGUAAAGGCCUACCAAGGCGACGAUCCGUAACUGGUCUGAGAGGAUGAUCCGUCACACUGGAACUGAGAAACGGUCGAGAAUCCUACGGGAGGCAGCAGUGGGGAAUAUUGGACAUGGGGCGAAAGCCUGAUCCAGCCAUGCCGCGUGUGUGAAGAAGGUCUUCGGAUUGUAAAGCACUUUAAGUUGGGACGAAGGGCAGUAAGUUAAUACCUUCCUGUUUUGACGUUACCAUCAGAAUAAGCACCGGCUAACUUCGUG
rnacentral:rRNA from 1 species